rnacentral:tRNA from 1 species
GCCUGGGUGGCUCAGUAGGUUGAGCGCCUGACUUUGGCUCAGGUCAUGAUCUCGUAGUUUGUGAGUUCAAGGCCCGCAUCGGGCU